AUUGAACGCUGGCGGCAGGCUUAACACAUGCAAGUCGAACGAGUGGCGGACGGGUGAGUAAUGCAUGGGGAUCUGGCUUAUGGAGGGGGAUAACUACUGGAAACUGUAGCUAAUACCGCGUACCAUAGGAUGAGCCCAAGUGGGAUUAGGUAGUUGGUGGGGUAAUGGCUUACCAAGCCGACGAUCUCUAGCUGGUCUGAGAGGAUGACCAGCCACACCGGGACUGAGACACGGCCCGGACUCCUACGGGAGGCAGCAGUGGGGAAUAUUGCGCAAUGGGGGCAACCUGACGCAGCCAUGCCGCGUGAAUGAAGAAGGCCUUAGGGUUGUAAAGUACUUUCGGUGAGGAGGCGUUAACCACAGAAGAAGCACCGGCUAACUCCGUGCCAGCAGCCGCGGUAAUUC
rnacentral:rRNA from 1 species